rnacentral:rRNA from 1 species
GAUGAACGCUGGCGGCGUGCCUAAUACAUGCAAGUCGAGCGAACAGACGAGGAGCUUGCUCCUCUGACGUUAGCGGCGGACGGGUGAGUAACACGUGGAUAACCUACCUAUAAGACUGGGAUAACUUCGGGAAACCGGAGCUAAUACCGGAUAAUAUAUUGAACCGCAUGGUUCAAUAGUUAAAGACGGUUUUGCUGUCACUUAUAGAUGGAUCCGCGCCGCAUUAGCUAGUUGGUAAGGUAACGGCUUACCAAGGCAACGAUGCGUAGCCGACCUGAGAGGGUGAUCGGCCACACUGGAACUGAGACACGGUCCAGACUCCUACGGGAGGCAGCAGUAGGGAAUCUUCCGCAAUGGGCGAAAGCCUGACGGAGCAACGCCGCGUGAGGGAUGAAGGUCUUCGGAUCGUAAAACUCUGUUAUUAGGGAAGAACAAAUGUGUAAGUAACUAUGCACGUCUUGACGGUACCUAAUCAGAAAGCCACGGCUAACUACGUG